AAGUCGUAACAAGGUAUCUGUAGGUGAACCUGCAGAUGGAUCAUUUCGAUGAAAACCUUUUUUCUGAGGUGUGGCUCGCACCUGUCUAACUAAACUUGAGCUACAACUUUUAACACGGUUGCAUCGGUUGGCCUGUCAAACAAUGCGGAAACGCGUUGAGCGAGGGGUCGACACCAAAACUAAAACACUUUUGAUGAUCUAGGAUUUGAAUGAAAGUUCAUUUUUAUGAUGGAACCGACUGGUAAUGCGGUCGUCUAAAUCUAAAAAACAACUUUUGGCAACGGAUCUCUUGGUUCUCC
rnacentral:misc_RNA from 1 species